rnacentral:rRNA from 9 species
CAGCAGGACGGUGGCCAUGGAAGUCGGAAUCCGCUAAGGAGUGUGUAACAACUCACCUGCCGAAUGGACUAGCCCCGAAAAUGGAUAGCGCUCAAGCCGACGACCUAUACACGACCGUUGGCCUAAAUGCGAUGGGCCAACGAGUAGGAGGGCGUGGAGAUUGUGAAGCAGCCUUGGACGUGAGUCUGGGUGAAACGGUCUCUAGUGCAGAUCUUGGUGUUAGUAGCAAAUAUUCAAAUGAGAACUUUGAAGGCCGAAGUGGAGAAAGGUUCCAUGUGAACAGCAAUUGGACAUGGGUUAGUCGGUCCUAAGAGAUAGGGGAACUCUGUAUCAAGGGGGCAUUUUGCCCUGCCUAUCGAAAGGGAACCGGGUUAAUAUUCCCGGACCAGCGUGUGGAUAAUGCAUGGCGACAUAAGUGAACUUCACGACGGCGGCGGGAGCCCUGGGAAGAGUUGUCUUUUCUUCUUAACAAGAAGCCCACCGUGGAAUCGGGUUAACCGGAGAUACGGUAGGAAGCUUGGCAAAGCACCUUACGUCUUGAGGUGUCCGGUGCGCUCUCGACGCCCCUUGAAAAGUGAAGGGAAGCGUUCAUUCUCACACCUGGCCGUACUCAUAACCGCAUCAGGUCUCCAAGGUGAGUAGCCUCUGGUCGAUAGAAUAAUGUAGGUAAGGGAAGUCGGCAAGAUAGAUCCGUAACUUCGGGAAAAGGAUUGGCUCUAAGGGCUGGGUGUUGGGGCCUCUCUCUGGAGCCUCGCCUAGAGCACGGAACGCGGACCCUCACGGGACUGUGAGCCGAGCACCGGGCGUGGUGACGGGGUGCUGGCAUUCCCUUCACGAGGAACAGCCAACUUAGAACUGUAACGGACAAGGGGAAUCCGACUGUUUAAUUAAAACAGAGCAUUGUGAUGGCCUCAAAGAGGUGUUGACACAAUGUGAUUUCUGCCCAGUGCUCUGAAUGUCAAAGUGA